rnacentral:rRNA from 1 species
GAUGGGUGAGUAACACGUGGGCAACCUGCCCUUUAGCUUGGGAUACCACUUGGAAACAGGUGCUAAUACCAAAUAAGCAGCAAGAGCGCAUGCUCAAGCUGAGAAAGGCGGCUUUCGAGCUGUCACUAAAGGAUGGGCCCGCGGUGCAUUAGCUAGUUGGUAAGGUAACGGCCUACCAAGGCGAUGAUGCAUAGCCGAGUUGAGAGACUGACCGGCCACAUUGGGACUGAGACACGGCCCAA